rnacentral:tRNA from 2 species
GUGGCUGUAGCUCAGUUGGAUAGAGCGUCUGACUACGGAUCAGAAGGUCGUGGGUUCGAAUCCUCCCAGCCACGCCA